rnacentral:rRNA from 1 species
UACAGAGGUCUCAAGCGUUGUUCGGAUUCAUUGGGCGUAAAGGGUGUGUAGGUGGCGCGCUAAGUCGGGGUGUGAAAUUUCGGAGCUUAACUCCGAAACUGCAUUCGGUACUGGCGUGCUUGAGGACUGGAGAGGAGACUGGAAUUCAUGGUGUAGCAGUGAAAUGCGUAGAGAUCAUGAGGAAGACCAGUGGCGAAGGCGGGUCUCUGGACAGUUCCUGACACUGAGACACGAAGGCCAGGGGAGCAAACGGG